UCAAAAUGUUUACAUUUUGUUCUUUAUUUGACAGGUAUAUCUUCUAAGAAAGAAAAUUUAUUAUUUUAUUCCAACGGUUGUAAUAAAGUCAAAUCUAUUCUUCCUGUUGAUGAGUGGAAUACGCUAAAGCAAGGAGCCAACAAAGAAAUCAACAGUAUUGAAAAAACAGAUUUAUUGGAGUCAUAUUUUUCAGCAAGUCAAGAUACCAAUGUAGGGAGUACUCACUCCCAGUCAAGUGAGUUUGAAGACAGUAUUGACUAUGCUUUUUUGAAUGAGACAUACUCUAUACAUUAUUCAGAGUCAAAGCUAAAUGAAAAUCUUGCUCUUUUAAAUUCAGAAUUAGAUCCUGAAAAGCAAAAAAGAGAAGAGAUAUUUUUUGAUAUUUUGGAGCGUCAAGGUAAGAAGACUGUUGGCUUGGAAAAAAUCUCCAAGAUUUCAGAUGAUGACUAUAAAGAAACCGCUGAAGGUAUGCAAAAGUAUGAUAUAGAUGAAGACUCACAGCAGGAAUAUCACAGUGCAGAAGAACAAGAAUAUAUAAGUAACCAUUUAUCUUUUGAUGGAGCCAAAACAUUAAGUAUAUCUAAUCUGGAAGUUGUUGAAUUAAGAAAUUCAGGUUAUGAAGUUAAAUGUGUUAGCAAUAUAGAAGAUAAUCAUGUUAAGUUGGAAAGUAGUUCUAUUAUUUCUUUGGAUUCACUUAAUGUUUUUGCACAAGAAUAUUCGCCUCAUGUCUCUCAAUUUCAGAAUUCUGUCAUGAUAAAAGAAAAUCAUGAAUCAAAGCAUGAAAAGUGGAAGGAACAAGAGACUAGUUUAAUGUACCACACGGUAUUUGAUCAUCUUUUACAAAGAAACAAUUCUCUUGGAAACCAAGAAUCUCAACCUAAGAGUGGUUUCUUGAAUCCUCAAAAAACACUCAAAACUAAGAUUUAUACUGAGAAAAUGAAAUCUCAAAUACCUGAAAGUAAAGAUCUUUGUGGAAAUACAAUUGUUGAAAACAAAGUAUCACAGCAUCUUGAAAAUCCUACCAAGUUACCUCAGAACAAAGCUUUGGAGUCUUUACUCCAAUCCUGUAAAGGUUGCCAGACUCCCUGGGCCUCUGUUUUUGAUGACUCAGUCAUUUCUGCCUGUGGGUAUUCAUGUUAUAAAAGCCUACAAAGCAACCUUGACCCAGCCUUGGGUUUCUCUGUUACACUACCAAGAAUUGCAGUCAAAGAUAAUCAGGCAGUGGAAAAGGAUAGUUCCCUAAAAGUUGUUAGCAACAGUACUACAAAUAAAAUAUGCUCUCCUGAUAGGAAAGGAACAUGUCCUAAAUCAGUGUCAGAUGCAGCAAGUUGUACAGUCACAGUUAAUCAGACAGUGGAUGUUAGCACUGAUUUUAGGGCUUGUUUCACAACCAGCAGGGCAACAAGUGCAAGAUCUCCUGUAGUAUCUACAUCAAGCAACACAGAGAUAACAAUGAUGAAUAAACAACGGCCUGGCGGAUGGCAGAGUGGAAAACAAACAAGUGUGGCUUGUAAUACAGACUGGUCAUGCAGUCAAGAUUGUGCAGACACACAGGUGGUUUUGACAAAAGGAUCAGGAAGAUCUCUCUCAGUUGAUGGUUUAAAGC
rnacentral:lncRNA from 1 species